rnacentral:pre_miRNA from 1 species
UUAAUACUUCUCCGUCUGAAAAUACUUGUCAUUGAAAUGAAUAUAUCUAGAUGUAUUUUAGUUCUAAAUACAUUCAUUUUGAUGACAAAUAUUUUCGGAUGGAGGAAGUAAUUC